rnacentral:rRNA from 1 species
GACGAACGCUGGCGGCGUGCCUAAUACAUGCAAGUUGAGCGCUGAAGGUUGGUACUUGUACCAACUGGAUGAGCAGCGAACGGGUGAGUAACGCGUGGGGAAUCUGCCUUUGAGCGGGGGACAACAUUUGGAAACGAAUGCUAAUACCGCAUAAAAACUUUAAACACAAGUUUUAAGUUUGAAAGAUGCAAUUGCAUCACUCAAAGAUGAUCCCGCGUUGUAUUAGCUAGUUGGUGAGGUAAAGGCUCACCAAGGCGAUGAUACAUAGCCGACCUGAGAGGGUGAUCGGCCACAUUGGGACUGAGACACGGCCCAAACUCCUACGGGAGGCAGCAGUAGGGAAUCUUCGGCAAUGGACGAAAGUCUGACCGAGCAACGCCGCGUGAGUGAAGAAGGUUUUCGGAUCGUAAAACUCUGUUGGUAGAGAAGAACGUGGGUGAGAGUGGAAAGCUCAUCAAGUGACGGUAACUACCCAGAAAGGGACGGCUAACUACGUG